UACAGAGGUGCCGAGCGUUAGGCGGAAUCACUGGGCUUAAAGCGUGUGUAGGCGGAUGCCUAAGUACCUUGUGAAAUCCCACAGCUCAACUGUGGAACUGCUUGGUAUACUGGGUGUCUUGAGCCACUUUAGGGGGUUUACCGGAACAAAAUGGUGGAGCGGUGAAAUGCGUAGAUAUCAUUUGGAACGCCAAUGGUGAAAACAGGUAACUGGGAGUGUG
rnacentral:rRNA from 1 species